rnacentral:tRNA from 2 species
GGGCGAAUAGCUCAGUUGGUAGAGCAGACGUCUUAUACACGUCCGGUCCCUGGUUCGAGUCCAGGUUCGCCCA